UACGAAGGGGGCUAGCGUUGCUCGGAAUUACUGGGCGUAAAGCGCGCGCAGGCGGCUAUCUACGUUCGGGGUGAAAGCCCAGAGCUCAACUCUGGGACUGCCUUGGAUACGGGAUCGCUUGAGGAUCGGAGAGGCAAGGGGAAUUCCACGUGUAGCGGUGAAAUGCGUAGAGAUGUGGAGGAACACCUGUGGCGAAGGCGCCUUGCUGGCCGAUUUCUGACGCUGAGGCGCGAAAGCGUGGGGAGCAAACAGG
rnacentral:rRNA from 1 species